CUAAGUUUGAUGGCGACCGGCGCACGGGUGAGUAACACGUAUCCAACCUGCCGAUGACUCGGGGAUAGCCUUUCGAAAGAAAGAUUAAUACCCGAUAGUAUAAUGAUUCCGCAUGGUUUCAUUAUUAAAGGAUUCCGGUAAAGGAUGGGGAUGCGUUCCAUUAGGUUGUUGGUGAGGUAACGGCUCACCAAGCCUUCGAUGGAUAGGGGUUCUGAGAGGAAGGUCCCCCACAUUGGAACUGAGACACGGUCCAAACUCCUACGGGAGGCAGCAUG
rnacentral:rRNA from 1 species